rnacentral:lncRNA from 1 species
UACCCAUGACACUCAUGUACCUUUUCAAACUCCUGAGACUUGUUUCUAUGUGGGCCUUCACAGUUGCUGUGAAGGGUCAGUAUAUCACCCAGUAUCCUGCAGUGAUCAAGAGCAGGGUCAAUGAGACAGUGACCCUUAAUUGCCAGUUUGUUGGAAUGGACUCGGCUUGCUACGCGGUUUCAUGCAUGAAACUGCACCCCAAGAGUGGCACGCUGGAUUUCGAGCACGAUGUUCGAGUAUGGAAGGAUGUUGGGAAAACGUCCUGCAAAGCAAACAUCUCCAUCGCAACCCCAGAGGACUCUGGGACAUACCACUGUGCUGUUGUGGUCCUGCAACAAUUGUUCAUUGGCAACGGAACAACAAUUGUUGUUGAAAGCAAUGACAGUCCCUCGGUUGAAAUUGCAUUGACUGUCCGCCACCAAAACAAUUCGAUUGCAGUCCUUACUUGCUUGGUCACCGGGAUCCACCCGUCCCAAGCGCGUGUGUUCUGGGUCCUGGGCGAGGGGAGAGAGGAGGGUGGUCAGUCUGAGCCCGUCUGGACCAAUAGCAGUGCCCCAGCUACUGUAUUCACACGGAACCGAGUUUCUCUCCCGUUUGGAUUGGGAGAGACCUGCACUUGUGUCGUGGAAUAUGCAGGGAGGACACUCAGCCGAAGUCUCACCUUAACAGGCCUAACUGUAUAUCUAAGAGGCAAAUGGGAAAAAAUGGUGGAACGAUACACAGAACUGGACAAAGGAUGCACGUGUAAAAAAUUGUAAUAUUACAUGUGAAGUCUACAGCACACACCUAGCUGUCAUUAUUAUAGAGGUCAUUAUGAAAUUAUUCAAUUCAGUUUUAGUUAUAUAACGCCAAAACAAUAAAAUUGUCUCAAGGUGCUUUACA